GAUGCUGGCUGCUGCAGUAGCUGGGCAACCAAUUAAAUAUUUCUGUAUUUCCUUCUGGAAGCUGCAGCUUCCUUCAGUGACUAAUACAAUGCACUGCUUUCUCCAAUGUAGCUACGUUAGUCUUGGCUGUCAGCAGGACACAUGCAAGAGGCAGAAGAAAAACAUCAGAGAUUUCCUUGUGAACCACCAUAUGAUCCUUUAGCACACAGGAGAAGAUAUGUUUCUCUUAACUCAUAAACUGCAAUUUGCACGUGUCAAACAACAGACUCAUCACCCUUAGGCUUUUUAUUUCCUACAAGCAUACCAUUAAGCUUUGCCCUGUCAAGAAGACACUACACGGAAUAAAAUCCAUGGAU